rnacentral:rRNA from 1 species
CUACGUGCCAGCAGCCGCGGUAAUACGUAGGGGGCAAGCGUUAUCCGGAUUUACUGGGUGUAAAGGGAGCGUAGACGGAAUGGCAAGUCUGAAGUGAAAUGCCCGGGCUCAACCCGGGAACUGCUUUGGAAACUGUCGAUCUGGAGUGUUGGAGAGGUAAGUGGAAUUCCUGGUGUAGCGGUGAAAUGCGUAGAGAUCAGGAAGAACACCGGAGGCGAAGGCGGCUUACUGGACAAAGACUGACGUUGAGGCUCGAAAGCGUGGGAAGCAAACAGGAUUAGAUACCCUGGUAGUCCACGCAGUAAACGAUGAAUACUAGAUUUUUGCGAUAUACUGUAAGAGUCUAAGCGAAAGCGAUAAGUAUUCCACCUGGGGAGUACGCCGGCAACGGUGAAACUCAAAGGAAUUGACGGGGGCCCGCACAAGCGGAGGAACAUGUGGUUUAAUUCGAUGCAACGCGAAGAACCUUACCUACUCUUGACAUCCAGAGAACAUUC